CCUACGGGUGGCUGCAGUGGGGAAUAUUGGACAAUGGGGGGAACCCUGAUCCAGCCAUGCCGCGUGUGUGAAGAAGGCCCUCGGGUUGUAAAGCACUUUCAGUGAGGAAGAACGCCUGGUGGUUAAUACCCAUCAGGAAAGACAUCACUCACAGAAGAAGCACCGGCUAACUCCGUGCCAGCAGCCGCGGUAAUACGGAGGGUGCGAGCGUUAAUCGGAAUUACUGGGCGUAAAGCGCGCGUAGGUGGCUUGAUAAGCCGGUUGUGAAAGCCCCGGGCUCAACCUGGGAACGGCAUCCGGAACUGUCAAGCUAGAGUGCAGGAGAGGAAGGUAGAAUUCCCGGUGUAGCGGUGAAAUGCGUAGAGAUCGGGAGGAAUACCAGUGGCGAAGGCGGCCUUCUGGACUGACACUGACACUGAGGUGCGAAAGCGUGGGUAGCAAACAGGAUUAGAUCCCUGGUAGUC
rnacentral:rRNA from 1 species